rnacentral:rRNA from 1 species
UGGGGAAUUUUGGACAAUGGGCGAAAGCCUGAUCCAGCAAUGCCGCGUGUGUGAAGAAGGCCUUCGGGUUGUAAAGCACCUUUGUCCGGAAAGAAAUCCUUGGCUCUAAUACAGUCGGGGGAUGACGGUAUCGGAAGAAUAAGCACCGGCUAACUACGUGCCAGCAGCCGCGGUAAUACGUAGGGUGCAAGCGUUAAUCGGAAUUACUGGGCGUAAAGCGUGCGCAGGCGGUUUGCUAAGACCGAUGUGAAAUCCCCGGGCUCAACCUGGGAACUGCAUUGGUGACUGGCAGGCUAGAGUAUGGCAGAGGGGGGUAGAAUUCCACGUGUAGCAGUGAAAUGCGUAGAGAUGUGGAGGAAUACCGAUGGCGAAGGCAGCCCCCUGGGCCAAUACUGACGCUCAUGCACGAAAGCGUGGGGAGCAAACAGGAUUAGAUACCCUGGUAGUCCACGCCCUAAACGAUGUCAACUAGUUGUUGGGGGAUUCAUUUCCUUAGUAACGUAGCUAACGCGUGAAGUUGACCGCCUGGGGAGUACGGUCGCAAGAUUAAAACUCAAAUGAAUUGACGGGGUCAUAGCUGUUUCCUG